rnacentral:rRNA from 1 species
UACGUAGGGGGCAAGCGUUGUCCGGAUUUAUUGGGCGUAAAGAGCUCGUAGGCGGUUCGACAAGCCGACGGUGAAAUCUCCACGCUCAACGUGGAGGGGUCCGUCGGAACUGUCGUGACUCGAGUCCGGUAGGGGAGUGUGGAAUUCCCGGUGUAGCGGUGAAAUGCGCAGAGAUCGGGAGGAACACCCGUAGCGAAGGCGGCACUCUGGGCCGGUACUGACGCUGAGGAGCGAAAGCGUGGGGAGCAAACAGGAUUAGAUACCCUGGUAGUCCACGCCGUAAACGUUGGGCACUAGGUGUGGGGCUCUAUCAACGGGCUCCGUGCCGUAGCUAACGCAUUAAGUGCCCCGCCUGGGGAGUACGGCCGCAAGGCUAAA